GGGUUGUGAGGUUAAGCGACUAAGCGUACACGGUGGAUGCCCUGGCAGUCAGAGGCGAUGAAGGACGUGCUAAUCUGCGAAAAGCGUCGGUAAGGUGAUAUGAACCGUUAUAACCGGCGAUGUCCGAAUGGGGAAACCCAGUGCAAUUCGUUGCACUAUCGUUAACUGAAUACAUAGGUUAACGAGGCGAACCGGGGGAACUGAAACAUCUAAGUACCCCGAGGAAAAGAAAUCAACCGAGAUUCCCCCAGUAGCGGCGAGCGAACGGGGAGCAGCCCAGAGUCUGAAUCAGCUUGUGUGUUAGUGGAACGGUCUGGAAAGUCCGACGGUACAGGGUGAUAGUCCCGUACACCAAAAUGCACAGGCUGUGAACUCGAAGAGUAGGGCGGGACACGUGGUAUCCUGUCUGAAUAUGGGGGGACCAUCCUCCAAGGCUAAAUACUCCUGACUGACCGAUAGUGAACCAGUACCGUGAGGGAAAGGCGAAAAGAACCCCGGCGAGGGGAGUGAAAAAGAACCUGAAACCGUGUACGUACAAGCAGUGGGAGCACCUUCGGGUGUGACUGCGUACCUUUUGUAUAAUGGGUCAGCGACUUAUAUUCUGUAGCAAGGUUAACCGUAUAGGGGAGCCGCAGGGAAACCGAGUCUUAACUGGGCGUUAAGUUGCAGGGUAUAGACCCGAAACCCGGUGAUCUAGCCAUGGGCAGGUUGAAGGUUGGGUAACACUAACUGGAGGACCGAACCGACUAAUGUUGAAAAAUUAGCGGAUGACUUGUGGCUGGGGGUGAAAGGCCAAUCAAACCGGGAGAUAGCUGGUUCUCCCCGAAAGCUAUUUAGGUAGCGCCUCGUGAACUCAUCUUCGGGGGUAGAGCACUGUUUCGGCUAGGGGGUCAUCCCGACUUACCAACCCGAUGCAAACUACGAAUACCGAAGAAUGUUAUCACGGGAGACACACGGCGGGUGCUAACGUCCGUCGUGAAGAGGGAAACAACCCAGACCGCCAGCUAAGGUCCCAAAGUCAUGGUUAAGUGGGAAACGAUGUGGGAAGGCACAGACAGCCAGGAUGUUGGCUUAGAAGCAGCCAUCAUUUAAAGAAAGCGUAAUAGCUCACUGGUCGAGUCGGCCUGCGCGGAAGAUGUAACGGGGCUAAACCAUGCACCGAAGCUGCGGCAGCGACACUAUGUGUUGUUGGGUAGGGGAGCGUUCUGUAAGCCUGCGAAGGUGUGCUGUGAGGCAUGCUGGAGGUAUCAGAAGUGCGAAUGCUGACAUAAGUAACGAUAAAGCGGGUGAAAAGCCCGCUCGCCGGAAGACCAAGGGUUCCUGUCCAACGUUAAUCGGGGCAGGGUGAGUCGACCCCUAAGGCGAGGCCGAAAGGCGUAGUCGAUGGGAAACAGGUUAAUAUUCCUGUACUUGGUGUUACUGCGAAGGGGGGACGGAGAAGGCUAUGUUAGCCGGGCGACGGUUGUCCCGGUUUAAGCAUGUAGGCUGGUUGUCCAGGCAAAUCCGGAUAAUCAAGGCUGAGGUGUGAUGACGAGGCACUACGGUGCUGAAGUAACAAAUGCCCUGCUUCCAGGAAAAGCCUCUAAGCAUCAGGUAACAUCAAAUCGUACCCCAAACCGACACAGGUGGUCAGGUAGAGAAUACCAAGGCGCUUGAGAGAACUCGGGUGAAGGAACUAGGCAAAAUGGUGCCGUAACUUCGGGAGAAGGCACGCUGGUGUGUAGGUGAAGCCCCUGCGGGUGGAGCUGAGACCAGUCGAAGAUACCAGCUGGCUGCAACUGUUUAUUAAAAACACAGCACUGUGCAAACACGAAAGUGGACGUAUACGGUGUGACGCCUGCCCGGUGCCGGAAGGUUAAUUGAUGGGGUUAUCCGUAAGGAGAAGCUCUUGAUCGAAGCCCCGGUAAACGGCGGCCGUAACUAUAACGGUCCUAAGGUAGCGAAAUUCCUUGUCGGGUAAGUUCCGACCUGCACGAAUGGCGUAAUGAUGGCCAGGCUGUCUCCACCCGAGACUCAGUGAAAUUGAACUCGCUGUGAAGAUGCAGUGUACCCGCGGCAAGACGGAAAGACCCCGUGAACCUUUACUAUAGCUUGACACUGAACAUUGAGCCUUGAUGUGUAGAAAACGUUGGACGCAUUAAAAAUAAAAAAAAAAUCUGCGUGGAGCCAACCUUGAAAUACCACCCUUUAAUGUUUGAUGUUCUAACGUUGGCCCCUUG
rnacentral:rRNA from 1 species